rnacentral:rRNA from 1 species
CUUGAUGACCAUAGUAAGUCGGUCCCACCCCUUCCCAUCCCGAACAGGACCGUGAAACGACUCUACGCCGAUGAUAGUGCUGCAACCAGUGUG